AAUAAUUCUCUAAUACUACUUCUCCUUGUGCCUUAAAUAUUUCUUUAGCUGCCUUUGUGGACAAGGGGAGUAGUUGUUUUUACAUAAAUCAAAGAUUGCUUACUGUUUCCUCUUUUAAUGCACCACUUCAGGCCACCUCUUCUCUCUCUCUCUAUGUAUUGUAUGUAUGUAUGUAGUUCUUUCCCCACCCACCACUUCAUUCUCAUCUCAUCCCUCAAAUCCCCCUCUCUCUUCUGUUUCUUCUGUUAAGCAGUGAGUUCUGUUUGUAUCCUUAACAUAUCUAUUGAUUGUUCUUUUUCUGUGUUCUGAAUGCAAAUAACUGUAAUUUUAAUUUCAACACUUAUAGAAACAGCUCAAAAUCUUUGAUCAUUUUUUCUAAAACUGUGUCUAAUACUUCUUUUUUUGCAUUUCAGGNNNNNNUUCUGUUUCUUCUGUUAAGCAGUGAGUUCUGUUUGUAUCCUUAACAUAUCUAUUGAUUGUUCUUUUUCUGUGUUCUGAAUGCAAAUAACUGUAAUUUUAAUUUCAACACUUAUAGAAACAGCUCAAAAUCUUUGAUCAUUUUUUCUAAAACUGUGUCUAAUACUUCUUUUUUUGCAUUUCAGGUUGUAUCAUAGAUCUGUUGCUUCUUCUGGCUGCAGUUUCACUGGUACAUUCUUUGGUUUUGAUCUUUUUUUAAUAUUCCUAUAUAUAUAUAUAUAUAUAUAUAUAUAUAUAUAUAUAUAUAUAUAUAUAUAUAGUUUUUUAUGAUUAAGUUAUUUGCUACAGUGAACCAAUGCUGGGGUUUUAUGUGUUGGUUAAAAUUUUAUUGGGCUUCUUUUUCUCUUUAUUUUAAGCUUUUCAGUUCUUGUGUUAUUUGUGGAUUUGUUUUUUCUGAGAUUGGGUUUUUUAACGGAGAUUUUUCUUGAGAAUUAUAAUGGGUUUCUGUUUUAAAGGUUCUACCUUUUUUUUUUGUUUUGUUGUUGGGUUUGCUGAUGUUUGAUUCCAUAUAUAAAUGGAGAAUUUUCUUGAGUUUUAAUGGGUUUCUGAUUUAAAGGUCCAUUCUUUUUGCUUUUUUGGAUUGCUGGUGUUUGAUUCUAUGUAUAAAUGGAGAUUUUCUUGAGAAUUCUAAUGGGUUUCUGCUUUAAAGGUCCAAUCUUUUUAUAUUUUUUUUUUUGGGUUUGCUGAUGUUUGUCUAUUUAUAAAUAGAAUUUUUUCUUGAGUUUUAAUGGGUUUCUCAUUUAAAGGUCCAUCCUUUUUAUUUCUUUUUUGGGUUGCUUGAUUCUAUGUAUAGAGUUCUUUCAUUAGGCCCUCUUUUGUUUUCAAGGAAUUAAGGAAGAAAGCUAUUUUAUUUGGUCUUUGAUGCUUCUGCAUACAGCUGAUUUGAACAUGGAAUGUGUUAACCUGCUUAUUGUUUUGAUUAAAAAAGCUUUUUCUCAUCUUGAUGAUAUAUUGAAGAGUUGAAAAGUUGGGAUCUUUCGUCCAUGCUCACUGGAGUUUAAGAAUCCAAAAUCAAGAAUUCUUCAUUUGUUCAAUUUUAUACCAUACUCAUUGGUAUUUGAUGACUGUGUAUCUUAUUGCAGAUAUAUCUUCUCUUUUCUCUUUUUUUUCUUCUCAUUUCUGUUCUUUCUUCUUCUCAUGCCAACUGUUUAUAUGACCAAAUUCUUCAUUUGUUUUCUUUUCUCUCUUUUUUUGUCUUAUUCCCACUACCUCGGUUGUCUAUCAAGAACUACCUCUCUUCCUUCAUAAGGUAGGGGUAAGGUCUGGAUACGCAUUACCCUCCCCAGGCCCCACGUGUGUGAUUUCACUGGGUUUUUUGUUGUUGUUGUUGUUGUUGUUGUCCCACUACCUCGGUCCAAUAUUUCUAGUGCAAUUUUCCUUUGUGGUUGUCUGGUUGAUGAUGUCUAUUUUGUCUCUAUUUAAAUAUGCCUGAGUGGUUUAAAUAAUAGUAGUUUUGUAUGUAAGUAGAACAAGUAUCAGGAUAUCUGUACAUAAUUGAUGCUAUUGCUCUUAAAGUAUACCAUAAUUGAAGGAUAAUUUUCAAAAACAUCAAUGUUAUUGGGAGGAAAUCUACUCUUAUGACCUUCAUCUCAUCGACAAGAA
rnacentral:lncRNA from 1 species